UCAGAUUGAACGCUGGCGGCAGGCUUAACACAUGCAAGUCGAGCGGUAACAGGGGGUGCUUGCACCCCGCUGACGAGCGGCGGACGGGUGAGUAAUGCAUAGGAAACUGCCCAGUAGUGGGGGAUAGCCCGGGGAAACCCGGAUUAAUACCGCGUACGCCCUUCGGGGGAAAGCAGGGGCUCUUCGGACCUUGCGCUAUUGGAUGUGCCUAUGUCGGAUUAGCUAGUUGGUGGGGUAAAGGCCUACCAAGGCGACGAUCCGUAGCUGGUCUGAGAGGAUGAUCAGCCACAUCGGGACUGAGACACGGCCCGAACUCCUACGGGAGGCAGCAGUGGGGAAUAUUGGACAAUGGGGGCAACCCUGAUCCAGCCAUGCCGCGUGUGUGAAGAAGGCUUUCGGGUUGUAAAGCACUUUCAGUGAGGAGGAAGGCUUGAAGGUUAAUACCCUUCAGGAUUGACGUUACUCACAGAAGAAGCACCGGCUAACUCCGUGCCAGCAGCCGCGGUAAUACGGAGGGUGCAAGCGUUAAUCGGAAUUACUGGGCGUAAAGCGCGCGUAGGUGGUUUGAUAAGCGAGAUGUGAAAGCCCCGGGCUUAACCUGGGAACGGCAUUUCGAACUGUCAGGCUAGAGUGUGGUAGAGGGUAGUGGAAUUUCCUGUGUAGCGGUG
rnacentral:rRNA from 1 species